rnacentral:lncRNA from 1 species
CUUUUACCGCAUGUCAGAUUUGCUCUAAAUGCUUUGGUUUUUGAGUUAUAAGCCAAAAACUGCAUUUUACCCCUAUGUUCUAUUUUUAGCCAUGGCGGCCAUCUUGGUUGGUUGACCGGGUCACGCCACACAUUUUUUAAACUAGAUAUCCCAAAUAUGAUUGUGGCCAAGUUUGGAUUAAUUUGGCCCUGUAGUUUCAGAGGAGAAGAUUUUUGUAAAAGAUUACUAAGAUUUAGGAAAAAUGGUUAAAAAUUGACUAUAAAGGUCAAUAACUCCUAAAGGGGUCAACUGACCAUUUUGGUCAUGUUGACUUAUUUGUAAAUC